rnacentral:rRNA from 13 species
UAUAGGUAUCGUUGUAUGAAUAUAUAGUACAACGAGGCGAACGAGGGGAACUGAAACAUCUAAGUACCCUUAGGAAAAGAAAUCAACCGA